UGUGUGUGAUAAUCAUGUUGACCUUCUGAGUUGAUUAGAGGGUAGAAAUGUAGUGCUCUGAGGACAGGGAGGAAUCCGAAGACCGCCGGUUAAAUAAUAACCGAGAUGUAGUGCUCUGAGGACAGGGGAAAAGUCCGAAGACCGCCGGCAUGUGCUCUGAGGACAGGGGGAAAGUCCGAAGACCGCCGGUUAAAUAAUAACCGAGAUGUAGUGCUCUGAGGACAGGGGGAAAGGGAAAGUCUGAAGACCGCCGGUUAAAUAAUAACCGAGAUGUAGUGCUCUGAGGACAGGGGGAAAGUCCGAAGACCGCCGGUUAAAUAAUAACCGAGAUAUGUCGUGCUCUGAGGACAGGGAAUCCGAAGACCGCCGGUUAAAUAAUAACCGAGAUGUAGUGCUCUGAGGACAGGGGAAAAGUCCGAAGACCGCCGGUUAAAUAAUAAC
rnacentral:lncRNA from 1 species